UAAGUGUCUCAUUCUCGUGGGUAACUUGGGGAUCAUGCUCAGCUCGACUAGAUCCUUUCCUAGCUCAAACUUCCAUGCAAUAGGCCUAGGCCCCACCACUUGAGGAUCUUGACUUAAGUCAAUUGCCAAAGUUGUUCCUCAGUGAUGUUGUUCGCCUAACAAAGGGCCUUCCUCUGCUCUAUCCGCUCCAAAUUUUCAUUGUGCACAACCUUUGAAUAUUUAAUCAAAUGGCCUUUGCUAAUGGUUCGCUCAAAGUCUGAGGGUAGUUUUUCUGUUUCUGGCGUCUGUGGCUUUAUGAAAUGCUUUUGGAAAUGCGCAACAACUUUUAGACUAAUUGGC
rnacentral:lncRNA from 1 species